UGGCUAUGAUGUCUGAAUUUCUUCACCUGAACAAACCGUGUGGUUUCAAAGAGCUUUUUAACCCUGAGCAAA